UCGAGAAUUUUUGACAAUGGGGGAAACCCUGAUCGAGCGACGCCGCGUGGAGGAUGAAGGUCUUCGGAUUGUAAACUCCUGUCAUUGGGGAACAAGGUGCAUACGUUAACUGCGUGUGUAUUGAUAGUACCCGAAGAGGAAGAGACGGCUAACUCUGUGCCAGCAGCCGCGGUAAUACAGAGGUCUCAAGCGUUGUUCGGAUUCAUUGGGCGUAAAGGGUGCGUAGGCGGCGCGGUAAGUCGGGUGUGAAAUCUCGGGGCUUAACUCCGAAACUGCAUUCGAUACUGCCGUGCUUGAGGACUGGAGAGGAGACUGGAAUUUACGGUGUAGCGGUGAAAUGCGUAGAUAUCGUAAGGAAGACCAGUGGCGAAGGCGGGUCUCUGGACAGUUCCUGACGCUGAGGCACGAAGGUCAGGGGAGCAAACG
rnacentral:rRNA from 1 species